rnacentral:ncRNA from 1 species
UCACGUGCGGGGGGCGAUGACACGCGGUCCACACGCUGGCCGCCGGGACCGCAUGGAGCCACUGGCGAGACCGCCCCGCAGCCGC